UGAAGCUGCCAGCAUGCUCUGA
rnacentral:miRNA from 1 species